AACAUAAAUCUUCAUCUUUGUUGCUCCGGCGGUUGGCGUCUCUUGCCACCGUCGGAAGCGGUUCUAAUUUUUUUCUUCUUAGUUUGGCGGAUCUCCACUUUGGACUUGCGACGUUGAAGGUUUGGGUUGCGAUCUGGCUUCAAAGAGAUGUUUUGUGUGGUUAUUUGGUCAGAUCUUUGUUCGCUCUCGCUGGAUUGGAGAAUCGGCGGUCUGAGGUGGUCAAUGGUGGUGCGUUGUGCUAGUUUCUCCAGCUCUGCCCUUUCGUUAGUGCAUCAAAGAUUUCUUAAGCGCUUGGGAGUUUGUGUGGUCUGCGGCAAGUGUGGAUGGUGUCUUCUCUCGGGUCUGCGGUUAGGUUCUUCUCUGUGGUCUCCGGAUAGAAGCUAUCAUCCUUGGAGCGUAUGAUGACUUUCUUGUGGUUAUCUUUCGUUUCGCCGUUUUCACUCGGUCGUUCAUUUAGAUUUCAGUGGGUGAAGUGCAAGUGUUAUGAAGUUGUGCUGUCCCUUGGUCUGCAACCUACGGGUUCUUCCGGAUUACUUGGUAAGGGGCUGUGGAGCUUAUGCUCAAUUGCGUGAGGUCUUGGAGUAGUCGAUUGCCAAACAUGCAUCUUCAUUGGCUGCUCGGGUUGGAAUUUGAUGUUUCUUUGGCUUCUUUGAGGUGAAGCAAUGGUAAGUGUGGUGUUUGUUCGUGGUUUCUCCUUCAACCCCAAUAAUAUAGGCCUGCUACGUUUUCUCGAUCAAUCCUGCUUCUAACGCUGGUUGCUUCGCCUUCCUUGAUUGUAUGGUUAUUCUCCUUUGGCGCUUAGUUAUCUUGUUCUCCUUAGUUUAAGUUAGUUUCUUGGGGGUAAGUGUUUGCUUCAGUCCUUGUUUCUGGGUAGUAUCUUGUUUCUACGCCGGCUUAUGAUUUCAAAAAGGUUGUAUACCUUUGCUGACUUUGUGUGUAAAACUCUGUUUGAACCUUUUAUUAAUCUAAUAGAUGA